rnacentral:snRNA from 1 species
AGCUCUGCUGCGUUGUUGUAAGCUGCCAUCUGUGCUUAUCAGUUUAAUAUGUUCACUGAGAACUUUAUAUUAAAUGGAUUUUUGGAGCAGGGGGUCAGAAGAGGAGCUUGCUCCGUCCACUCCGCACGUCGACCUGGUAUUGCAGUACUUCCAGGAGCGGUGCACCUCCC